ensembl:lncRNA
UGGCUGUGUGGGCGCACGGAUGACAGAGUAGGAAGUCAUCUCUUAAAUCCUACUCCCUCUGUGCCACGGCUUUAUUUUGCCAAAGCCCUAGCUGUGACUGGGAGCCUACAGAUCCACCACCACCUCAGCAGAGAUCCGCUCUAUCUCCCACGCUUCGUUACUGCUGUUUUUCCUGAGUUUGAGAAUGACAGCACCGCAUGGGAGAGGGGUACUGAGCUAAAGAGGCAGGGGGAGAGGAGGAAGAGGAGAGAGAGACAGACAGACAAAGGACAGGAAACAGGCAAUCCUUGUGUCUUCUCACUGUUCUCAUGUGGAAAUAAGUGUUGCAUAAUUCAUAGCCUGUGGGAGGCAAAUAAUGAAUAUGUGUGAGUAAUUAAAGGAUGCAUGCUGAUAAGCUAGAGAGAGCGAGAGUUAAGGGCUUCCCCCGCUGAGUGAUCUUUCACCUGCUUCACCGAUACACAAAGAACAAAAAAAAAAUGUUCCUGAAAAUUGCAGAUACAGCCUGCAUUGCACAACAUAAAAUACCAGCUACCCACAUUCUCUGCUUGAUGCAUUUUUUCCCUCUGAUUGAAUAAAACUGUGUAAACGGAGUGAAAAGGAGAAUCCAUGUUUUAG